rnacentral:rRNA from 1 species
GACGAACGCUGGCGGCGUGCCUAAUACAUGCAAGUAGAACGCUGAAGGAGGAGCUUGCUUCUCUGGAUGAGUUGCGAACGGGUGAGUAACGCGUAGGUAACCUACCUGGUAGCGGGGGAUAACUAUUGGAAACGAUAGCUAAUACCGCAUAAGAGUAGAUGUCGCAUGACAUUUGCUUAAAAGGUGCAAUUGCAUCACUACCAGAUGGACCUGCGUUGUAUUAGCUAGUUGGUGAGGUAACGGCUCACCAAGGCAACGAUACAUAGCCGACCUGAGAGGGUGAGCGGCCACACUGGGACUGAGACACGGCCCAGACUCCUACGGGAGGCAGCAGUAGGGAAUCUUCGGCAAUGGACGGAAGUCUGACCGAGCAACGCCGCGUGAGUGAAGAAGGUUUUCGGAUCGUAAAGCUCUGUUGUAAGAGAAGAACGAGUGUGAGAGUGGAAAGUUCACACUGUGACGGUAUCUUACCAGAAAGGGACGGCUAACUACGUGC